CUGUCUAUUUACAUGCCUAAAGGCAAUAGAUCUGAGUCAGGAAGAUGCCCAAUUCCUGGCACAAUUUGACAGUGGGCACUGGUCUCCUCUGCUGUGUUGCCAUUUGUCUCAUGGGUGUAGGCCACAUGGAUACUGGAGUUAUCCAGCACCCAAAUUUCUUAGUCAAGGGAAGUGGAAAAACCGUAACGCUGAGCUGCAACCUCAUCGAAGGACAUACAUAUAUUUACUGGUAUCAACAGGUCCUGAAUAAAGAAUUAAAAUUUCUAAUUUACAGAAGAAAUGAACAAAUUUUAGAUGAUUCAGGGAUGCCCAAGCAUAGAUUCUCAACUGAAUGGUCCCAAGGGUUACCUGGCAUCCUGAAGAUCCAACCCUCAGAACCUGGGGACUCUGCUGUGUAUUUCUGUGCUAGUAGCUUAGACACAGAGCUACAGAUUCAGUUCUUCUCUAUACACAAACAGUACCCUGCUCAGAAAAUAGGAAAGAAAAGAUUUGGGGAGAAGCAGGGAGGGGUUAAGCAAUUUGAUCCAAAGAUCAUCUAUAUCUAUAUCCACAUCAUUGAUGAAAAAUGUCAACAAGCAUAG